GAUGAACGCUGGCGGCGUGCCUAAUACAUGCAAGUCGAGCGAACAGAUGAGGAGCUUGCUCCUCUGACGUUAGCGGCGGACGGGUGAGUAACACGUGGAUAACCUACCUAUAAGACUGGGAUAACUUCGGGAAACCGGAGCUAAUACCGGAUAAUAUAUUGAACCGCAUGGUUCAAUAGUGAAAGACGGUCUUGCUGUCACUUAUAGAUGGAUCCGCACCGCAUUAGCUAGUUGGUAAGGUAACGGCUUACCAAGGCAACGAUGCGUAGCCGACCUGAGAGGGUGAUCGGCCACACUGGAACUGAGACACGGUCCAGACUCCUACGGGAGGCAGCAAUAGGGAAUCUUCCGCAAUGGGCGAAAGCCUGACGGAGCAACGCCGCGUGAGUGAUGAAGGUCUUCGGAUCGUAAAACUCUGUUAUUAGGGAAGAACAAAUGUGUAAGUAACUAUGCACGUCUUGACGGUACCUAAUCAGAAAGCCACGGCUAACUACGUG
rnacentral:rRNA from 1 species